rnacentral:rRNA from 1 species
CCUACGGGUGGCAGCAGUGAGGAAUAUUGGUCAAUGGGCGGAAGCCUGAACCAGCCAAGUCGCGUGAGGGAAUAAGGCCCUACGGGUCGUAAACCUCUUUUGCCGGGGAGCAAGGGCGGGGACGUGUCCCGGCCCGGAGAGUACCCGGAGAAAAAGCAUCGGCUAACUCCGUGCCAGCAGCCGCGGUAAUACGGAGGAUGCGAGCGUUAUCCGGAUUUAUUGGGUUUAAAGGGUGCGUAGGCGGGCUUUUAAGUCAGCGGUAAAAAUUCGGGGCUCAACCCCGUCCGGCCGUUGAAACUGGGGGCCUUGAGUGGGCGAGAAGAAGGCGGAAUGCGUGGUGUAGCGGUGAAAUGCAUAGAUAUCACGAGGAACCCCGAUUGCGAAGGCAGCCUGCCGGGGUGCGACUGACGCUGAGGCUCGAAGGUGCGGGUAUCAAACAGGAUUAGAUACCCCUGUAGUC